rnacentral:piRNA from 1 species
UAUUGCCUGUUCUAUGGCAUUGAGUGU